rnacentral:ribozyme from 14 species
UCUGACAAAUAAACCAAGUCAAGAUGGGAAAUGAAGAAAGGAGAAAGAAGAAGUGCUUUAUUUAUUAGUAAAAUAUAAUCAUCAUUGGAGGUUUUACUAUCCUUCUUCCACUUUACUCUCCUCUUCUUUUGUUUCUUUUUCUU